UAUCUUUAACCUUUUUGCAACUUUAUUACCCAUUUAGGAUAACUUGAUUCUGUUUACCAUUUAGGAUCAUUUGAUUCUGUUUAUUAUAUCUUUAAGCUUUUUGCAACUUCAUUACCCAUUUAGGAUAAUUUGAUUCUGUUUAUUUCCUUCUUUUUUUUUGUGUACUGUUGUGUUUCUGUUUCUAGUUCUUGACCCACUUCGAUUUUGUUUUGUUUUGUUUUUCGAUUGGAUAUUGUGAAAUUUUGAAUGGCCUUUUCUAAAGAGAACCCGGGAAAAAAGAGAGGUAGUUUUGAUGUUGAUUCAGUCCUUAUGUUGGGUGUGUAUUAUAAGUUGUCAAAUAUGGUUGUUGCUCAUAAAUAGUUUAGAAAACAUUAGAUUACCCACACUUGCAGGGAUGGGCCAGAAUUCAAAAAAAAAAAAAUGUGAUAAAACAAUUUUCUUCUUUCGUUACGAUAUUAUUUUAGUUAUAACUCAUAAUAUCUUUACCUUUGGUUAUGCCUUAUGUGGUAUGUGGUUAUGAUUUUUUUGACUCAAAAAAUAUGGAAUUGUGUUAUUUUCUUCUUUAAUUAGGUGCAUAUAUGGUAUUUGAGAGGUGUGUACGAUAGUCUUUCCAUCUUCAAUAUUAUUCUCUAAAAUGUGUCAGUAUAUUAUUCUACAAUUGAUUUAAACACAAUUGAUUUAAACAGUGUUGAUUCGAAGUUGCAAAUUUUAUGCCAGGAACAUGUAAGAGUUUCUGAAUUAAUUCCGGAUAUGUUUGGAUGAUAUUAAUGGAUUUUGAUUUCAAAAUUUUUACUAACUGCAUUAGCCUUGAGACUGCGGGAUUUUGCAAGUUCAUGGUGUCGUCUUGCUCUUAAUAUGGGAUGGACUUAGGGGACAACUAGUAGGGGCCAUCAUCACAUCUACAAUUUCAAAGAAAUCCCCCUACUACACUACUAUUUCUAAACUAUAUAGGCAAAAAUUAAUGUUGUAGUCCACAUUUUUUUCCAAAUUUUUUGUCAGUGUUGAUUCUUGUCAAUGUUAACAACAUCUACGGUUGAUUGAUGUCAAUGUUAAUAACAUCCAGACUUAUAUCUUGGAUUGUGAUAAAACAGUAAAAUUGUUUGUUGCCUCCAACUGAGACCUGCAAGGUCUUUGCCGGCAAUCAGUCAAUUGGACUGAUUGCCAAAUAGCUUAUGAGUUCCCAGAAUACAUUGAACCCCAAUAGAGGUCUGGAGGGUGUUCAUGGAGUUCAUUUGGUGCCUCACUCACCAUUUCUGUUGGAAGAGAUAAACCAACAUGGGCAUGUCCAUCAGGCAACAUGUGCAAGUUCUACUGUUGGAGCUAAUGAGCAUCUAAUGGUGCAGAGAGUAUGGGAGCAAAGACCUGCAUGCUUGAGACCCAUCCAAUGUCACCUGAAAGGUGAUAAGCAUGUUGCAGAGACAAUUGCUAAUGUGAUCACUUCACUUCCUUUUAUUGUUCUUGGAACCCAGGCCCCAAGGAAGAAUCUGAACUGUAAAAUUUAUGCUAAUUCAUUAAUUGGAGUUGGAGUUGCCUCUAGUUUGUACCAUGCUUCAAGAGGAAAACUAAAGAAGUAUAUGAGAUGGGCCGACUAUACUAUGAUAGCCACAACAACUAUGUGUCUAUCAAGGGCACUGAGGAAUGAGAAUCCAAAGCUUCUAAUGGCAGCAUCUGCUUUGAUUUUACCGAUCCAGCCUCUCAUGGUUUCAGCUGUUCACACUGGAAUUAUGGAGCCUCAGUGGGUUCCUUUGACAUUGACUUGUGUCUACCCUCCUUUAGUUGCAAUUCUGUUUUCAAGUUCCUAGGAUCUCUUUGCUUGUAACUACCUGAGCCUCCAUACUUUCUCAUCCUCAUUGUGCUGCACAUAUACUUUUAACAAAAGCUAUGAGGCACUAUCAGGAGCUUAAAUUACUUUCUUUUUUUGUUUCUUUUUCACGGCUUCAAUAAAUUUUAAAAGUUGCCAUUCUUUUGACAGUUUCAAUCAUAUGCAAGGCAUCUUGUCAAGAUCUAGACCAGACACACAGACACAUGGGUGUGUGUUUGUCUGCAAGGUGUGAUGUGUGCUUGCAUGUGUAUAAGGUUCUUAGGAUGUGUAGAAAAGCAACUCUUAAUGUGAUGAGAGAGAGAAUGCAAUUCUAUACAACAGAGAGUUGUAAGUGUUCGUAGAUGGACAAAUGAGUAGUGCAUAGAAAUCAGAGCUAUUGGUUGGUUCUACACAUGAAUUGAAUUAACACACUUCUUCACCAAUGAAACAUGAAAAUUACCACUGAAUUUUUUUAAUUGACUUGGCUCAUUGUCUUUUUCACCAUAUAAGCAUGACAAAUGAGUAGUGCACAGGUGUAGGAGCUAUUGGUUCCUAUACAUGGCUUGAAUUGAAUUAACAUACUUCUUCACCAAUGAAACCAGAAAUUACCACUGACUCAUUUGGGAGUUGGCUUUUUUAGUGGCUAUUGACUUUUUAUGAAAAGACGUGC